AUUUGUUUUAGACAUCCACAUCCUCUGAAUUAAUUGAAGUAAAUUCGAGUAAACAUUUAGAGCGUUGCUUGGCAAAAAUUUAUUUUUCUGGUAAAUGUAUAUGUCACACACAUUGCGUAGUAUACGAUAGAUAGCUGAAUAAAUAAUGGAACUAACCAAUUCAAUCAACAAUCGAACGAGAACGAACGAGAACUCACAGCAAAUUACAAUUUGAUGCAAUUUAUACUUUAUGGAAUAUCUUGUAACGCAUUAUACUUUUAUCAUUAUUAUAUUUUUAAAGUACUCCCCAGAUUCAAGUGUCCUCUCUGUAUGUAUGUACAAAUGUAUAGUAUUGUGCUGAUGCAGAUGCAUUCUGUGUGCUAAGUGGAUGUGUGUGUUCGAACCGAUUGGCUAUAAAAAUAAAAGGCUGCUUGUCUCCAUUCCGUAUGCAAUAAGGUUUAAAUCCCCCUGGUUUCUCCCCAGCCCAUCUCCAAUCUCCACUACCAUAUACCAUUCCAUAUGGUGCUAGCUGACUGCUUUAAGCCUAUGAGGUUUAAUUAAAUUCACUUGCUUUUUAACUUUUCCUUCUACUAGGCGCCUGUUUCCCUCAUCCGUGUGUUUUAAGACCAUGAAAAUAUAGCAUCACUAAUGAUUUCGUUAAAAGCUUUCAAUAUUUUUGGUUUCGAUAGAGGUUAUAGCUUCAAAAUGGACGUUUCAUAGAUAGAUCAUUAAUGUUACAUAGACUUCAAGAGUUUUUUCUGUGUUUGAGCAGAACUACGUGGUAGAUAGUAAAAAACUCGAGGCGACUUUGAGGAUAUGUGCCUACAGCAGAAGAGUACGGUGUAUCUAAGCUGGUUUACUUUAAGGAUUCCUCUUGUUUGGGGAUUUCAGAUAUUGGCAGUUUCCAGUGUUUGAAAACUUUUGAGAAUGGAAUUACAAAAAUUCUUGGGCAAUUCCCAUUACAAUAUGAAAAUGUUAUUCAUUGCAGCCAGAUGGACUAUAAUGCAAUCCUAGCUUACAGCUAACUCCACUUGCAAGCGGUUCAUAAAUCAUUCAAACUAACCCAUGGAAGGCAACUGUUUGCUAAGUCAAUCCAACCCCUCAGACUCUCAUCCUUCUCCUGGUUAUCUUGGAAUUGGAUUGUUACAUUGACUUUUUGAAAUUCAAAUCACAUGCAGAACACAGAUGCAUAGCCAAUGAAUGCAAAUAGACAUGCCUGCAUAGGCUCCUAUGUACAUACAUGUUCUCAGAAAAUCACAUAUUCAAACUGCUCCCACCUCUCGCCCUCCCCUACAGGUCGGAUGUUUGCGUUUAACUUUUUACAUUAACUGUCAUUUGGUUUAUUUCACAAUUUACAAAAUUCAACUUAAACAAUGGGAUUAUACGUGGUGCAGUCCAUGCGUGGAGACUUAAUCGGCAUCCGCGCGCAUACCCCGCACCUCGCCCACCUGCCGCGCCUUGUCCAGCUCCUCCUUCGUUUGGUCUUCGAUGGCGCGGAUGUCCUCCAUUGUUAGACCGUACCAGCGAUCGGUUGAACAGAAAACUUGGCUGAAAUGGGAAUGGAGGAGUGAUCAAUGGGGAGUUUUCAUCGAGGGUUUAUCGAACUGUAUAGAUUCUAACUAACUUAAUCUAGCAUCGAAUUCUAAGCUAUACAAUUAAAGAGCAAUUACCGAUGGAA
rnacentral:sRNA from 1 species